GUCUAAAAGUUGUAUGUAUUAUCUGAUUUUUACAGGACAUGGUGUUGUGUCAAGGCAUGAAGCAUUGGAACGUGCAAGGAGACACAAUGUUGAUUUAGUUGAGGACCAUGAGGAAUGUCAUGGAAAAACUGGAAAGAGACUUGAUGUUAUCAACCACAUGGUUCUAUGGGGAAAGCUGCAAGGAGGAAUUCAUUGUUAUGUGCAAAUUUGUUGUGGGCUUAAGCCGACAAUUUAACAGAUCGGUCAUACCUUCUGAACGUAAGAUCUAUUCCC